CCUAUUGAGUGUCAUAUCAAAUGAUAGUAGAAGUGAGUUUUCUCACUUUGAGGUCAGACACGAUGAUGUAGGAA
rnacentral:ncRNA from 1 species